UGGACAAAGCGUGCUGUGUCGCAUGGCAACGAUGAAUUACACUGGGAACAGCAAUUGCUGGAUGUGUCUCUUUUGUUAAGACACGUGUGGAUAGUUUGAAGAUAUUGACCUAGCAAGAUGGCAACAGGUUUAAAAAAUAAGAUUCAUAAGAAGUUACUUUUUCAGACAAGCCAAACCCCCAAAUGAGAGAAGACACUGAGGCCUGUUGCCACAAACCCGUAGAUCCGAACUUGUGGUGAUAGUCCACACAAGCUUGUGUCUACAGGUAUGUGUCUGUUGGGCAAUCUCACAGACCAGGGCUCUGCCUGGGUCACUCAAUACCGUCAGCUGCCUUCAGUCUCCCUCCCUUCCCCUGGUCUCUUAGGAAUGGUGGAAAUGGAAAGAAGGGCUGGUAUGGAGAAAGGAGACUUUGUUCUGAAAUGAAUGAGAUUCUUCAGUGAUUACUUUAUAAGCUUGCGCUCAAUUCCCUUAUCUCUUAUAUUAAUUUCACUUAUCAUUGAGAGACUGGGCUUGCAGAUGAGGCAGCAAGAAUUUGGGUGACUCAGACAACUUAUUGUUGAGUAAUGAGGAAAUAGAUACUAAACAAGGUUUUAUUUUGUUUUCUGUAAUUUUGACUAACUGUUUUCAGUUAUAGCCUUUUUUUGGAAACUAAGAGAGACUUGCUUACGAGACCCAUUGCCCUCUGAUUUGGGUGGCACCUUGUAGCAAUGUUUUCUCACCCACUGCUCUCCAAGUGCAGUCUAAUUAGCCUUUAUCUUUAAAGGUGAAAUUAAUGAGAGGAAUGGAUGUGCUUAACUAUUUCUAUUUCUGUAAAUAUCCAGUACUGUAAGAAAAAAAAGAACUUUUUAAUGAAAAAGAAAUAGCCUGUUUGGGUCCAACCUCAGAUUUGUCCAGAGUCUUCAUGUUUAAAAGGCUGGAAUGAAAAUCAUUUUCUCCCUUUGCUUCUUAAAUGUCACCCUUGCGCCAAGAUUGGAAAGCCAAACUGACUGCAGAUCAAAGCAAAAGUGGCUGUAUCUGUUUUAUUCCGGCCACGUGAGCUGUGAGUCCCUAAACAGGACCAGGGUGAAGAGCUGACCCAACCUGAAUGACUUAAAUAUUUGCAUUCCCUUUUGGUCCAACAUGGUGCCAGGAAUUCCCUUAAGUUUUUUGUUCAUUUUUGUACAGUUUUUUAUAUAUAACAAAAAGAGUCCAUAUGAAGUAGUUAUUGAGUGAACAUCAGCAAAAAGUUUGAAACAGAAAUAGAUACAUUUUAUUUCAUUAAAUGCUGUCUCUUCUUAAGAGCCACACCUUUCAGAGAUAGCUAGAACUCUUCUAUAAAGUAUAUAAAAGUUAAAUUUUGUAUGUCAGAAUUAGGAAGGCCCAAUACAGAUCACAUAUGUUUGAAGGGUGGAAUAUCCAGCUCUGCACAUGCCACAGCAGCGGACAGUGUGAACGUGCAUUUCCUUCAUGUGCACUCUGUUCCUCGCGGAGGAGGGCUGCCUGCGGGUCUCACCUUCCAGCCUGCGAGGAAGUCACUGCUUUAUUAUGGAAUGAUGGAACAUUACAUCCAGAAG